AACCCGAACCCGACGGGUUUUAAAAAUCCAUACCCAUAUCCGGACCCGACCAAAAACUCGAAACCCAAACCCAAAUCCGAAAACCCGAACCCGAAAACCCGAACCCAAAAUCGCGGAAUGGUUUAACUGGAUAGGGACUAGGGACCGGCCACGGACGACGCGUCUAGGAACGGGCCGCGGGCGAGGCGGGUGGAUGGCAGAGGAAGGAUUGCCGGAGUGGGGACAGGUGGGGAGACCGCAGACGACAGAUCGAAGGGCGGGUGGACGGCAGAGGAAGGAUUGCCGAAGUGGGAACAGGUGGGGGAGACCGCGGAUGACGGAUCGAACUAUCGAAGGGCGGGUUGACGACAGAGGAAGGAUUGCCAGAGCCCGGAGUGGAGACAGGCGGGGAGACCGCGGUCCGCGGACGACAGAUCGGAGGGGGCGGGUCGAGCGGCGAAACACGAAAUGGCGGAUGGGGCAAAGCAGGUCG
rnacentral:lncRNA from 1 species